GUGGGGAAUAUUGGACAAUGGGCGAAAGCCUGAUCCAGCCAUGCCGCGUGUGUGAAGAAGGUCUUCGGAUUGUAAAGCACUUUAAGUUGGGAGGAAGGGCAGUAAGUUAAUACCUUGCUGUUUUGACGUUACCGACAGAAUAAGCACCGGCUAACUUCGUGCCAGCAGCCGCGGUAAUAUGAAGGGUGCAAGCGUUAAUCGGAAUUACUGGGCGUAAAGCGCGCGUAGGUGGUUUUGUAAGUUGGAGGUGAAAUCCCCGGGCUCAACCUGGGAACUGCCUCCAAAACUGCAUGACUAGAGUACGGUAGAGGGUAGUGGAAUUUCCUGUGUAGCGGUGAAAUGCGUAGAUAUAGGAAGGAACACCAGUGGCGAAGGCGACUACCUGGACUGAUACUGACACUGAGGUGCGAAAGCGUGGGGAGCAAACAGGAUUAGAUACCCGGGUAGUCC
rnacentral:rRNA from 1 species